GGCUGUUGUUGUUUAGUAGAGUGAGUGAGAAAUGAGAGCAAAGUUGCGUUGCUGAGCCCGGAAUUUCAAAAUGUAGCUUUUAAAGCAAUAAUGUUCAUUCUUCAGAGUUAACCUUAUCCUUUAAGUGGUGAGUAAUCAUAUAUUGCCAAAACUAAUAUGGAAUGAUUAUAUUUUUAAUAUAUGUUUCAGUGGCCUAGCACAGAAUCAAUAUAAGUCUUGCUAUAUGGUUUGACUUCAUUGGAAAACUAUUGGAAGGACGAUUAAACCACAUUUUCAGCAAUCAUCUUUUUUUAGCAGACCAUCCCGAAAAAUCCAACAACUUAAGAUGAUCACCUAUUUCCGGUAGAGCAAUCUGUUUUUCAUAAAUAUUAAACCUAAAUGAAAAUAAAAAGUUUUAAUGGAAUGUUUA